GGGGAUUUAGCUCAGCGCCAUAAGUGCCUGCCUUGCAAGCAGGCAGUCAUGAGUUCAAUCCCCA
rnacentral:tRNA from 1 species